rnacentral:lncRNA from 1 species
UCUUCCCACAACUCUUCCUCCCUGCUCGCAAGUGCUCCUACAAUAGCAGAGCCCAAGCACCCAGCCACUUUCCCUCGAAGAGGGAUCCAUGCCAUUGAGCCAAUCACCGACCCUCUUACAGGAGCAAAUCUUAUACUAUUAGGAGGGAGGACAACAUAUAAAACUUACCUUCGAAGAAAGGCAAUAAUAGUAAGUCAUGUGAACAGUAGGUCCCAUGCUCCACAAUAGUCAAGAGCAAACAAAAUCCUUCUAGGAUCAUAGAA